rnacentral:lncRNA from 1 species
CCUAGGCUGGGCUUAGAGCCUCAGAAGUGGAAUUUGGAAUUCUGAGAGAACAAUCUAGAAUUCUAGGAAUAGACCAUAGAAUCUCAGAAAUGGAAUUUGAAAGUCUACCAACACUCCCGGGGUGGGGGUGGCGGGUACUGAGUGGGAAUGAUUAGAAUAAAAUUGAGGACUCUAGCAGCGGACUUAGAAUGGUAUCAGCGGGUUCUCAUCCUACAACCUGACUUUGGAAGUUGGAGAUAAGGGGUGUCUAGGGGUUGGGUCAGACUCCAGUUUUGGAGUCUGACUCACAGUUGGGCGGAGCCAAGGCCCCCUGAGGCUGAGCCAGAACCUCUGAGAGUGAACCUGGAGACUCAGAGGGCAGCUGGCAGGGCUCACAGUGUGGGGUCCCACCCUGCAGAGGCUGGGUCAGGCCCUCAAGGGCUGGGUUGCUGGCUUCAAGAGGCUGGGCCAGGAUGUCAAGGGGCGGAGUUCCGGGUUCCACAGCUGGGACAGUGUUGCCCAGAGCUGAUUCCUGGGACUUGCAGAAACGUGCGAAGGUCUCUGAAGGCCUGGCCCCGGUCUGUGGAGCAAAUCCAGCUGCCUGAGCUAGCUCCCUGACCCGGGUGUUGAAUCCCUGCAGCUGCUCCUGCCGCACGUCCACCAGGUACCUGCAGAUGGGAAGCGCCCUGUCAGGGACCCAGAUUUUGAUCCCCAGCCAGGAUGUUCCCCACCCUCCACCCCACUGACUCACCGGGCUAAUUCCACAAUCAAGUUCCCUCCGGGUGCCACACAGGCCCCAAGCUCAGGGAUGAGAAGAUGGACCAUACUGCAGAGAGGACGGAGGACAGGCUGAGAUUCAGCUCCAAAUCCGGAGGGAGGAUGGGGCUCUGGGAUCCCAGACAAUGAGGGAGGAGGGGUGGCAAAACUGGAGUCUGGGUCCUGGGGAAAGAAGGGAGCAGGAGGUCUGGACUCCUGGGUCUGAGGGAGGAGGGGCUGGGGGCCUGGACCCCUGGGUCUAAGCAAGGAGGGGCUGGGGGCCUGGACUCCUGGGUCUGAGGGAGGAGGGGCUGGGGGCCUGAUCCUGGGUCUUUGUGAGCACAGCUGCCUCCCCGCUUACCCACAGGCCACAUAGAGGAGCUGGAAUCGGCCGUUGUAGCAGCUCUUGUGGUGGAGAGUCUGAGCAGAAUUGAGCGGCAGGAAGUGGACGGUGAAAGAUUCCGGGGUCGGGGCUGCUGGGGGAAGGGGAUAGAGGGGUCACCUCUGACAGGCGGAGCCAUAAGGGCGGAAAACCAGAGAGAUACACAGAGCUGGGCAGAGCUGGGCAGGCACACAGGACUUGGAGAUAACACUUUUUGUCCUCUUGCAGCUUUUUAAAAAAUCCUCUAAGGUAGGCUCCUGGAAAGUUCUGGGAAGGUCAGCCUGGCAGGCAGAGACUCACUGUACAGAUCAGGCAACUGAGACUCUAGAGAGGGAAAGAGGGUGGGUGGCCAGGGCCACAUGUGACAUGCCCUGUCAGACAGACACGCAGGGAGGGCCAGGUUGGAGGAUGGCUGGAAGGAGGCCCAGCCAGGAUCCAGGGUGUGGGAGGCUGUCCAAGGGGGAGCUGGGACCCAGCACCCUGUGAGAAUAUUCUUGGAUAGCUUAGCCCUCUGCAGAUAAGAUUAGAAUUCUGCUAGUGGAAUUCAGAAUUCUAAGCAUGCUCUCAGAAUUUAGGAAAGGGAGAGAAAGAGAGAAAAAGAGACAGAAUAUCAAGAAGCCGUCACUUGCCCAGGCAUUCCAAAUCAUGUCAGUCCACACUCCAGUGUGAAACACCUGGAGGCUGGAGUCCCUGGCUUACCUGUUGUUGUCCCUGGCUUACCUGGAGUCCCUGGCUCCGGGCUUCCCUCCGCGUGCUGCUGCUCCUCCAGGUCCCCCCCGGUGGCUCUCGCGCGCCCCCAGGCGGCCACGUCGCGGAGCAGCUCCGUCACGUUGUGUUGAGUGAUCUCCCCGGCCGUCUAACAGUAGAAGGGGCGUGGCCAGACGUCGGGGCCAGGAUGGCGGGGCGGGGCUUAGAACGCUGGGAGUCCUCGGUCCAGGACUAGAACUCCCGCAGCUGCUUGGAGGAUGUGAAGUGGGGCGGGACCUAUCCCGCGGGGAUGGGGCCUGUUCUCUGAAUGGAGUCGUUCCCACCAAGCGACGGGCGGGGUCUGGAGCUGGGGGCGGGGCCUGCUGUGGGGGCGGGGCCUUGCGCACCCACCGACCCCCAGCCCCACCUCUACCCCCAGUCCCAGCCUCGCCGCGCACCUUGACUGGCUGGCCGUUGCUCGUCCGCAGGAGGCUCUCGUCGUCCGCUUCGAUGCCGAAGGCCACGAAGGGCCCCGUGGCGAUGUCCCCCCAGUACCCGCGCGCUGCCACGCGCUCCCCACGCUGGAAAAGGAGGGAGAGAGGAGGCAGGUAAUCUAGAGAUGAUUUGCGGUGUAUGGGACCAUGUGUACAGGCUAUUUGGCUAGGCUGAAGAUCAGCAUGUGUCGGGCCACAGCUUCCAGAUUAUUCUCCAGCACAAAGAACUAGAAGGAUGGACAGGGCAGAAUAAUUCUGAGACCUGUUUGCCUGGGUCCUAGGAGACCCAGGAGAGCAGGCCCUCAGCUCUCUCCUUCCACACACCCGAGUUCUGUACACCAGCCUCUUCCUUCAAACACAGAAGUCUGUGUCCCCAGAGCUCUCUUCCCUUCCAUUACUCAGAAGACCUCAUCCUCGAGCUCUUCCCCACUAUAGAACCCAGGAGUUCCAAACCCCAGCCCCUUCCUUCCCCCAAGACGCAUCGGUUCGCUCCCAGCUUCUGCCUCCCUCAGAUCUAGGAGUCUCCAGCCCCUUCAUUCCUGGACCUGAGGUUUUAGAAUUUCAAUCCCUUCCUCCCUCAAGGACUCGGGAAUCUGGGCUCUCAUCUUCAUCCCAGCUCACGUUGAACCUCCUGCGAGGCCAGAACUUCGCUCGGGACAGGGUCCGCAGCAGGUGCCGUCCAUCCACAGAGCCCAGAAGCAGCACAUCUAGCUCGGGGUUGCUGUGCACUGUAUCGGCCUGGGAGUCUGGGUCCACAGGAGGACCUGGCAAGAUGACAGCUGGCUGGGGCACCAUGGUGGUUGGCAGAGCGUCCACCGUAGCAUCCCCUAUAAAAAAUGGACUACAAAUCCCAG